CAGCCAUAAGUAGAGAGUAGCAUCACCUAGUUUCUGGUCCAGCGAUAUGUCACAAUUUCAUCUGUGGGCUAAAUCCAGGCAGGAGAGUAAACUAUACAGAGGCAUAUGGCACAAUCACCCUUGCGUAUACAGAGGCAUAUGGCACAAUCGUGCUUGCAGGAAGGUCCACAGAUGAGAUCAACAAUUCUGUACAUAUCCUGCUUCUGUGGGCACCAGGAAGACAGGAGAGGAGACUCACAUUACCUGGGAGCAAGGCUCUGAGAUAUGUUACAAUGUCCUUUUUGGGUAGCACCAAAGCAGGAGAAUAGAGUUACGUCACCUAGGUGCUGGGUCCAGCAGUGUGGCACAAUCCUAUCUGUAGGCUGUGCUGGUGCUAAAGAGUCACAUUACUCAGGUGCAAGGCAGAGGUGUAUGUCAAAAUCACACCUGCAGGAAGGACAGGGGAUGAGAUGAACAAUACUGUACAUAUCCCGAUUCUAGGUAUGAGAGUCAACACCUCCUGUAUGUUGGUUCUAAGUACACUAGUCACAGUCUCUGAAAUGAACUGAAUCAGUGCAUGAGAAACUCAGUCCCUCUUACCACUGUGCCUCCUUAGUGGAAUCACAGCCUCACAGGUGGGUCAAAUUUUAGUCUGAAAGUCACCAACUUACCUUUGAACUGGAUCCACAUAUGAGAGUAAAUUUUCCACCUUGCAACUGCAUCUGUGUGAGAUUCAGAACCUCAACAGUAGGCUGUGUUCAUGUGAGAAGAUGACAACAUUUACUGUCGGCUGGGUGUACAUAUGAGUGUCAAAAUCUCAACUGUACUUUGGGCCCAGUUAGAACAUGCUCUGUACCAGCCAAGUGUUUUAUAAGGUAUGCAUAAGAGUCACAGUCCUUUGUGACUGGGAGACAUUCGUGCUGGUUUGGACUCAUGAUUGUGCCUGUGGCUCUAUGCCCAGUUAUAAGAGUUAACUUCUCUGCAAUGGCUCAGUCCAGAUAUAAGAGUUGUCCCCUGCCUAUAAGCUUGGCUUACUAAGGAGUCACCACCUCUGCUGUUGCCUGAUGUUCACAUACGACAGUCACAAUUUCAACUCUGC
rnacentral:lncRNA from 1 species